UACGAAGGGGGCUAGCGUUGUUCGGAAUUACUGGGCGUAAAGCGCACGUAGGCUGACAUUUAAGUGAGGGGUGAAAUCCCGAGGCUCAACCUCGGAACUGCCUUUCAUACUGGCAAUCUCGAGUCCGGAAGAGGUUAGUGGAACAGCAAGUGUAGAGGUGAAAUUCGUAGAUAUUUGCUAGAACACCGGUGGCGAAGGCGGCUAACUGGUCCGGUACUGACGCUGAGGUGCGAAAGCGUGGGGAGCAAACAGG
rnacentral:rRNA from 1 species